GACGAACGCUGGCGGCGUGCUUAACACAUGCAAGUCGUACGGUAAGGCCCUUUCGGGGGUACACGAGUGGCGAACGGGUGAGUAACACGUGAGUAACCUGCCCACAACUUUGGGAUAACGCUCGGAAACAGGUGCUAAUACUGGAUAUGUGCUCCUGCUGCAUGGUGGGGGUUGGAAAGCUCCGGCGGUUGUGGAUGGACUCGCGACCUAUCAGCUUGUUGGUGGGGUAGUGGCCUACCAAGGCGGCGACGGGUAGCCGGACUGAGAGGGUGACCGGCCACAUUGGGACUGAGAUACGGCACAGACGCCUACGGGAGGAAGCAGUGGGGAAUAUUGCACAAUGGGCGCAAGCCUGAUGCAGCAACGCCGCGUGCGGGAUGACGGCCUUCGGGUUGUAAACCGCUUUCAGCAGGGACGAAGCUUUUUGUGACGGUACCUGCAGAAGAAGCACCGGCUAACUACGUG
rnacentral:rRNA from 1 species